rnacentral:rRNA from 1 species
AUUGAACGCUGGCGGCAUGCUUUACACAUGCAAGUCGAACGGUAACAGGCCGCAAGGUGCUGACGAGUGGCGAACGGGUGAGUAAUGCAUCGGAACGUGCCCAGUCGUGGGGGAUAACGCAGCGAAAGCUGUGCUAAUACCGCAUACGAUCUGUGGAUGAAAGCGGGGGACCUUCGGGCCUCGCGCGAUUGGAGCGGCCGAUGUCAGAUUAGGUAGUUGGUGGGGUAAAGGCUCACCAAGCCGACGAUCUGUAGCUGGUCUGAGAGGACGACCAGCCACACUGGGACUGAGACACGGCCCAGACUCCUACGGGAGGCAGCAGUGGGGAAUUUUGGACAAUGGGCGCAAGCCUGAUCCAGCAAUGCCGCGUGCAGGAAGAAGGCCUUCGGGUUGUAAAGCUCUUUUGUCCGGAAAGAAAAGCAUCCAGUUAAUACCUGGGUGUCCUGACGGUACCGGAAGAAUAAGCACCGGCUAACUUCGUGCCAGCCGCCGCUGUAA